GACGUAGGGCGCGAGCGUUGUCCGGAUUUAUUGGGCGUAAAGAGCUCGUAGGCGGCUUGUCGCGUCGGAUGUGAAAGCCCGGGGCUUAACUCCGGGUCUGCAUUCGAUACGGGCAGGCUAGAGUUCGGUAGGGGAGAUCGGAAUUCCUGGUGUAGCGGUGAAAUGCGCAGAUAUCAGGAGGAACACCGGUGGCGAAGGCGGCCAGCUGGCGCUGACCUGACGCUGAGGCGCGAAGGCAUGGGGAGCGAACGGG
rnacentral:rRNA from 1 species